AGCACUGCAGUACGUUGAUGUCAUUGUGAGUUCCUGGCAUACCAAAGGAGUGCCAAAUCCAGAGGUCAUGUGUGGCUACUGCCUCAAGUACCACACUGCAACCUCCUUUGGCACCUUUGUACAUCCCUUGCCAAGCAAAUGGACAGUUUUUCCACUUCCAAUGCAUGCAGUCGAUACUUCCAAGCAUCCUAGGAAAUCCUCUUCCAAUGCAUCGGGCGAGGACCAUGAGGUGCUCUUCAUCCUGGGCGUCGGCAUCAGCUUCGGGCGUGGUUGCCGCCGCCGCGGGCGUGCCCAGAGCGCCGGGAAAACUCGUCUAGAAGCGGGGCCGGGGGAGGGGGCGAAUCCGCGGCGAAGCCAACGGUGGAGAUAGCCUUUGUAGCGGCAGUAGGCAGAUGGGGCGGCGCCGGAAUCGGCACGGUGGCGGAAGGUGGGGUGUGGGAGGGGUGGUUUCAGAGAAGAUAGUUCUUUUUUUUUACCUGGCAGGGGGCCGAUACAUCGUUUUUCCUUCCGCCGGCGCCCCCGGGUGCCCCCAGCGUGCUGGGUUCGGGCUGGGACCGCCGGGGCCAAUUUUGGCCCGAGCAGGCGAAAAGCGGCCUACCAGGGUCGCGGCUGGGCCGUUUUCCCCNNNNN
rnacentral:lncRNA from 1 species